rnacentral:rRNA from 1 species
AGCUACGGCCAUGCCACCCUGAACAAGCCUGAUCCCGUCUGAUUUCAGAAGCUAAGCAAGGGUGGGCCUGGUUAGUAGUUGGAUGGGAAACCACCUAGGAAAACCAGGUGCUGUAGGCA